AUGGCUGUCGUCAGCUCGUGUCGUGAGAUGUUGGGUUAAGUCCCGCAACGAGCGCAACCCCCGUCGCAUGUUGCCAGCAUUUAGUUGGGGACUCAUGCGAGACUGCCGGUGACAAACCGGAGGAAGGUGGGGAUGACGUCAAGUCAUCAUGCCCCUUAUGUUCAGGGCUACACACGUGCUACAUUGGCGCGUACAGAGGGUUGCGAUACCGCGAGGUGGAGCGAAUCCCUUAAAGCGCGUCUCGGUUCGGAUUGCAGGCUGAAACUCGCCUGCAUGAAGGCGGAGUUGCUAGUAAUCGCGGAUCAGCACUGCCGCGGUGAAUACGUUCCCGGGCCUUGUACACACCGCCCGUCACACCACGGGAGUGAGCAACACCCGAAGCCGGUGGCCUAACCCGCAAGGGAGGGAGCCGUCGAAGGUGGGGCUCGUGACUGGGGUGAAGUCGUAACAAGGUAGCCGUAGCGGAAGCUGCGGCUGGAUCACCUCCUUUCUAGGGAGCACAUAACAGUGCCCCGGUCCCAGCGGCCGUUCGGGCUCAUCGAGACCUUCGGGUUUCGGGCGAGACCGGACGGUGACAAGAGCAGACCGGGCCUAGCAUGUCGACCGAACCUGACCGGCGCGCCGCAUUCCGCAUCGAACUCCGACCUGCUCGGACGCUCGGUGCGGGGGCGGCAUCCAACCCGCCGGCAUGCUGUUGAGCUUUGAGAGACCGUCGCCCGCCCGGCGUCAGGAGCAGCCGCGAUAAGAAGAUCGCGUCCGCACUUGCCCGACGCAGGCCGGCGUAUAGCCUCUUAACGGUCCUUGAAAACUGCACAGAAGCCACAUCAGCCGCCAUCGAUAAGCGGCGGCUGAAAAACGGGUAUCACCGGGCCGUUCGCGAUCAUUCUCAUCUGUGCCUGCAUGUUCUGAGGUACGGAGGAUCACGAUCGGUCUGAUCACCGUCAAGAUAGUAAGGGCACAUGGUGGAUGCCUUGGCACCAAGAGUCGAUGAAGGGCGUGAACGGCUGCGAUAAGCCACGGUUAGGCGCUGAAUAGCCUUUGACCCGUGGAUUCCCGAAUGGGGAAACCCGG
rnacentral:sRNA from 1 species